rnacentral:tRNA from 1 species
GGUAUCGUAGCUCAGUUGGCAGAGCGCACGGCGGAAACCGCCGCCGAUGGCCGCCGCAGGUUCGAUCCCUGCCGAUACCA